rnacentral:tRNA from 1 species
AUUUAAAUAAUUUAAAUAAAAUAUUGAUUUGUGGUGUCAAAAAUAUGAAAACUCAUUUUAAAUU